rnacentral:rRNA from 1 species
AUUGAACGCUGGCGGCAGGCCUAACACAUGCAAGUCGAGCGGUUGAUGGGGGCUUGCUCCCUGAUUCAGCGGCGGACGGGUGAGUAAUGCCUAGGAAUCUGCCUAUUAGUGGGGGACAACGUUUCGAAAGGAACGCUAAUACCGCAUACGUCCUACGGGAGAAAGCAGGGGACCUUCGGGCCUUGCGCUAAUAGAUGAGCCUAGGUCGGAUUAGCUUGUUGGCGAGGUAAUGGCUCACCAAGGCGACGAUCCGUAACUGGUCUGAGAGGAUGAUCAGUCACACUGGAACUGAGACACGGUCCAGACUCCUACGGGAGGCAGCAGUGGGGAAUAUUGGACAAUGGGCGAAAGCCUGAUCCAGCCAUGCCGCGUGUGUGAAGAAGGUCUUCGGAUUGUAAAGCACUUUAAGUUGGGAGGAAGGGUUGUAGAUUAAUACUCUGCAAUUUUGACGUUACCGACAGAAUAAGCACCGGCUAACUCUGUGCCAGCCGCCGCGGUAACAC